rnacentral:rRNA from 1 species
GACGAACGCUGGCGGCGUGCUUAACACAUGCAAGUCGAACGGAAAGGCCCUGCUUUUGUGGGGUGCUCGAGUGGCGAACGCGUGAGUAACACGUGAGUAACCUGCCCUUGACUUUGGGAUAACUUCAGGAAACUGGGGCUAAUACCGGAUAGGAGCCCCUGUUGCAUGGUGGGGGUUGGAAAGUUUCGGCGGUUGGGGAUGGACUCGCGGCUUAUCAGCUUGUUGGUGGGGUAGUGGCUUACCAAGGCUUUGGCGGGUAGCCGGCCUGAGAGGGUGACCGGCCACAUUGGGACUGAGAUACGGCCCAGACUCCUACGGGGGGCAGCAGUGGGGAAUAUUGCACAAUGGGCGGAAGCCUGAUGCAGCAACGCCGCGUGCGGGAUGACGGCCUUCGGGUUGUAAACCGCUUUCGCCUGUGACGAAGCGUGAGUGACGGUAAUGGGUAAAGAAGCACCGGCUAACUACGUG